rnacentral:tRNA from 1 species
AGUCCAGUGGCUAGGACUUUGCACUUCCACUGCAGAGGGCACAAGUUCAAUCCUUGGU